rnacentral:rRNA from 1 species
GAUGAACGCUGGCGGCGUGCCUAAUACAUACAAGUCGAGCGAACAGACGAGGAGCUUGCUCCUCUGACGUUAGCGGCGGACGGGUGAGUAACACGUGGAUAACCUACCUAUAAGACUGGGAUAACUUCGGGAAACCGGAGCUAAUACCGGAUAAUAUAUUGAACCGCAUGGUUCAAUAGUGAAAGACGGUUUUGCUGUCACUUAUAGAUGGAUCCGCGCCGCAUUAGCUAGUUGGUAAGGUAACGGCUUACCAAGGCGACGAUGCGUAGCCGACCUGAGAGGGUGAUCGGCCACACGGGAACUGAGACACGGUCCAGACUCCUACGGGAGGCAGCAGUAGGGAAUCUUCCGCAAUGGGCGAAAGCCUGACGGAGCAACGCCGCGUGAGUGAUGAAGGUCUUCGGAUCGUAAAACUCUGUUAUUAGGGAAGAACAAAUGUGUAAGUAACUAUGCACGUCUUGACGGUACCUAAUCAGAAAGCCACGGCUAACUACGUG